rnacentral:rRNA from 1 species
UACAGAGGGGCAAGCGUUGUUCGGAAUUACUGGGCGUAAAGCGUGCGUAGACGGUUAUUUAAGUCGGAUGUGAAAGCCCCGGGCUCAACCUGGGAAUUGCAUUCGAGACUGAAUAGCUAGGGUACGGUAGAGGGAAGUGGAAUUUCCGGUGUAGCGGUGAAAUGCGUAGAUAUCGGAGGAACAUCAGUGGCGAAAGCGACUUCCUGGAACCA